AACCCAUGGUAAGGGCACCUUCUCAAUAAAUUCUUGUAUCUCUCCCAUGCAUCAUAUAAGGUUUCUAAGUCAAUCUAAACGAAGAAAGAGAUAUCAUUCCUCAACUU
rfam:Gossypium raimondii Chr03_contig_250, whole genome shotgun sequence.